GGUUAGGCCAGGCUACUUGAAGAAGAGCGAGUUUGUUCUGGAUCACCUCUGUGCCAACCAGCUUCUGUGCUUGUCUUCAUCGGCUAAGCCAAGAGAAGAACAACAGUGUUUUGCAUACAGCUUUUCAAGAAAUGAUUCACUGCUGGACCUACGAUGAAGAUUACAAUUCUUUAUUUUCAUGUGAAAGAGCUGCUAAUGAAUGUUCUUGUUUUGUUUUCAGAAAAAAACAUCCAAAAAAUCUAGCAGUGACAUGGAGAAAGGAAAGGAAAGGGAAAAAGAAGCUAGAUAAUAUGCAGCCUGAAGGAUGCUUCUGAGCCAUGAUCACCGUCCACAGUCACUUAUUCAUAGGGUGACCAGAAAGUUUGCCUUCCAAACUGGAAUACAUCUGAAAGUAGAGGCAUCUCUGCAAGAAGGACGCUUCCCUCGAAAGCUUGGGAAUGGGGUAUGGAGCAGGAAAACGCAUCUGAGUCAGGGCAGUGGAAGGAUGUAUCUGCCUCCACCAUCAGACUUUUGCUUCAGGGCUUAUGGAAGAUGUGAUUGAUGACAUCCAAAUUUACACUUGAGAUCUUCUGCUGAAGAUCUUCUGCUCCAAGGAUCAAACCUAACUAGUCAGCCAACUGUUGUCAACGUUUGAUUAUAUGCACUUGGUUCUCCCUAUGCUCUGUGUGAAAAAGUUCACGUGGCAGUAUUGGCAGAGGGAGGCUUGUGUCAUCUUCCCUAAGUGCUUCAGAGGUUAACUCUGAAAUGUCAGGAGCACUGUGGGCAAAUUGCAGAAGCCAGAGAGGGCCUCCGUCAGCAUCCAAGAUCUGUGCCAGCGGUUUUCUGAAGAGGCACUGGGGUUUGCAGGUGGAACACGGAAUCACCUGGGAGCUUCCUCAGACUACACUUGCCAGUUCCUUCCCCCAAACCCUGAGAGAUGGAUCUCGCCUCGCCGCCAGCCCGUUUAAAAUCACUGAUCUGGGUUGUUAGGAAAGAGCUUCAUUAAACUUAAAUUUAGCAUGUGAGGCUGUGGAUAGCCCCAUCUCUGUUUCGGAGAAACAACUGUUUACUAUUCUAACACUCUGGAAACCUGGCAAGCCGCUAUGGGAGGGCUGGCAACCCUGAGCUCCCGAGGCUUCUGUGCAGCUGCUCUGUAAGGGACCCCUGCCCCAAGGGCUCCCACCUGCCCAGCUUGGUGUUCAAAUUAGGAGGGGGUACACGACGAAGAACUUUGCAGGACCCAGAAGGGCAGCCGGAACCUAUUUUUGAUGAUCCUGAGGAUUAUUAAGAAAGGAAAUUCCACAAAGUCCUUGUAACUCUCAGAAAGGAUUUUGUUCCACUGCUUGCUUUCUUUGUCUUCCAAUUCUAUUUCUGGAUUUCCCUCUUUACGUUUCUAGGUCUGGAACUGAAUAGCAAUGAAGUAAAAGUGAUCAUCCUAAAGAGAUAUUCCUGGGUGAGAAAAUGGGUUACUGAGAAUCCCUGCCCCCACCUAUGUGAUAGUGGUCUUGGUGGACUUGUGGGAGGAUCUGAAGGACAAUUGGAGCCCUGGGAAUUUGGAGGGG
rnacentral:lncRNA from 1 species